UUUGGGGUUUUAUCGAUUUCACUUGAAAUUCGUCUAUAUUGAUUUCGCCGACUGUAUAUUAACACAAAGCCAUUUAUAAAAGACUAAGUAUUUUACAGUAGGUAUACGAUCAUUUAUUAUAAAGUUUAUAAUUUGUAUAUAAUAUUAAUUGAUUUUUCCGAUCACUAAUAAUGACUUCAAAAUGAAUUUUUACACAGUAUAAUUCAAGAGUCAAGACAGGCGCACAGGACUACAAUUGUCACUAAAUGUCGAUUAUUUGGAUACAUUGGAUACUGCAGAAAAUAUUGAACAACAUAUUUUACUUUUAUUUUUAAUAAUAUCAAUGUACUUACAAGUAUGAAGUGAUAAAAUUAGAUUAAAUGCCCGGCGGUCACCAUCAAACACUUCAAAAAUACGUCUAUUAGAUUCUGAUAUUAGAUAUUGUAGAGCAGGCCGACUUUCAUGGAUUUUUGAUCGACCUGUUCGCAUAACAGCCGCGUAAUCGGUUCGUCAGCUGCCCAGAGUCCAUUACUCCACGUUACGUGCAGCUAACCGUUAUUCGUUAAUUGCUACAAGAAUGGCAAUUAGAAAAUAGGUAAGUACGAUAAAAAAGAUUUCCGGUGAUAUGAGCCCGUUAGGGCCGC